rnacentral:tRNA from 1 species
GUGUAGUUCAGUGGUAGAGCAUUUACCUAGCAUGUGUGAGGACCUGGGUUCAAUCCCCAGCAC